rnacentral:rRNA from 1 species
GACGAACGCUGGCGGCGUGCCUAACACAUGCAAGUCGAGCGGAGGAUUCAAGAUGUUUACAUUGAGAAUCCUUAGCGGCGGACGGGUGAGUAACACGUGGGUAACCUGCCUCAAAGUGGGGGAUAGCCUUUCGAAAGGAAGAUUAAUACCGCAUAAGCCUCCGGUGCCGCAUGGCGCUGAAGGAAAAGGAGCAAUUCGCUUUGAGAUGGACCCGCGGCGCAUUAGCUAGUUGGUGAGGUAACGGCUCACCAAGGCCACGAUGCGUAGCCGACCUGAGAGGUGAUCGGCCACAUUGGAACUGAGACACGGUCCAGACUCCUACGGGAGGCAGCAGUGGGGAAUAUUGCACAAUGGGCGAAAGCCUGAUGCAGCAACGCCGCGUGAGUGAUGAAGGCCUCGGUCGUAAAGCUCUUUGUAUCAGGGAGUGAGUAAUGACAGUAC